UACGUAGGGGGGCAAGCGUUUGUCCGGAAUCAUUGGGCGUAAAGCGCGUGUAGGCGGCCCGGUAAGUCCGCUGUGAAAGUCCAGGGCUCAACCCUGGAAUGCCGGUGGAUACUGUCGGGCUCGAGUCCGGAAGAGGCGAGUGGAAUUCCUGGUGUAGCGGUGAAAUGCGCAGAUAUCAGGAGGAACACCGAUGGCGAAGGCAGCUCGCUGGGACGGUACUGACGCUGAGACGCGAAAGCGUGGGGAGCAAACAGG
rnacentral:rRNA from 1 species